AUGACGUGGCACGUAGCGGCCGUCCAAGGUGAAACAAACUUCCCAACGUAUGUCUGGGUCGCACACCAACACGUGUAGAUUCCCACCAACCUGAAACCUCCACGUCAGCAAAACUCGCGUGGAUCCCAUGUUGGAUCGCAUUAGAUGCACUAGGAUGGUUACGUGGCAUGUGAUGAUUGGUACAUGGAAUGUUUGGGUGUGUGGCGGUCACUUCAAAGUGUUGUACCCCGGUCAAGAGAACUCGGUUAUCAAGGAAGGAUGGGGAGAUG
rnacentral:lncRNA from 1 species